rnacentral:rRNA from 1 species
AGCCUGAACGCUGGCGGCGUGGCUAAGACAUGCAAGUCGUACGGGUGUAGCAAUACACCAGUGGCGGACGGGUGAGUAAUGUAUCGCUAACGUACCCCGGAUUCUGGGAUAGCUGCCCGAAAGGGCAGGUAAUACCGGAUGAUAUAUCCUUUUCGCAUGAUGAGGAUCUCAAAGGGAAACCGUUCUGGGAGCGGGCGAUAUCGUAUCAGCUAGUUGGUGAGGUAACGGCUCACCAAGGCGACGACGCGUAGCCGGACUGAGAGGUUGGCCGGCCACAUUGGGACUGAGACACUGCCCAGACUCCUACGGGGGGCUGCAGUAACGAAUCUUCCGCAAUGCACGCAAGUGUGACGGAGCGACGCCGCGUGUGGGACGAAGUCCUUGGGAUGUAAACCACUGUCAGGGGUUAGAAAGUUCUGAUCAACCCAGAGGAGCACGGCUAACUCUGUGUCAGCAGCCGCGGUAA